rnacentral:sRNA from 1 species
UGCAGGCUGGCAUGGCUGGGGGGAUGUCAGCGGAGUGCCCUGAGCCUGGGCUGCAGGGCCAGUCCCCAGGGCCAGGCAGGCAGUGUCCCCCUCCCAUCACGCCCGCCUCCUGGAGCCUGCCCCGGUGGAGGGCCUACGUGGCUGCCGCCGUGCUCUGCUACAUCAACCUCCUGAACUACAUGAACUGGUUCAUCAUCGCAGGAGUGCUGCUGGAUAUACAGGAGGUUUUCCAGAUCAGUGACAACCAUGCUGGUUUGCUUCAGACUGUAUUCUUGGCUCUUCUUCCUGUCCCGGGGCAUCGUGGGCACUGGCUCGGCCAGCUACUCCACCAUCGCGCCCACCGUCCUGGGCGACCUCUUCGUGAGGGACCAGCGCACCCGCGUGCUGGCCGUCUUCUACAUCUUUAUCCCCGUUGGAAGUGGUCUGGGCUACGUGCUGGGGUCGGCUGUGACGAUGCUGACUGGGAACUGGCGCUGGGCCCUCCGAAUCAUGCCCUGCCUGGAGGCCAUGGCCUUGAUCCUGCUUAUCCUGCUGGUUCCAGACCCACCCCGCGGAGCUGCCGAGGCACAGGGGGAGGGGGCCACGGGAGGCUCCAGGAGCAGCUGGUGUGAGGACAUCAGAUACCUGGGGAAAAACCUGAUUUUUGGGUCACUGACCAUCAUGACCGGCAUCAUUGGGGUCAUCUUGGGGGCAGAAGCUGCGAGGAGGUACAAGAAAGUCAUUCCAAGAGCUGAGCCCCUCAUCUGCGCCUCCAGCCUGCUUGCCACAGCCCCCUGCCUCUACCUGGCUCUCGUCCUGGCCCCCAACACCCUGCUGGCGUCCUAU